UACGUAUGGAGCAAGCGUUAUCCGGAUUUACUGGGUGUAAAGGGAGUGUAGGCGGUGGCAUAAGUCUGAUGUGAAAGCCCGCGGCUCAACUGCGGAACUGCAUUGGAAACUGUGUGACUAGAGUGUCGGAGGGGCAAGUGGAAUUCCUAGUGUAGCGGUGAAAUGCGUAGAUAUUAGGAGGAACACCAGUGGCGAAGGCGGCUUGCUGGACGAUCACUGACGCUGAGGCUCGAAAGCGUGGGGAG
rnacentral:rRNA from 1 species